UACGUAGGGUGCAGGCGUUAAUCGGAAUUACUGGGCGUAAAGCGUGCGCAGGCGGUCUGCUAAGAGAGGUGUGAAAUCCCCGGGCUUAACCUGGGAACUGCGCUUCUAACUGGCAGGCUUGAGUGUGGCAGAGGGGGGUGGAAUUCCACGUGUAGCAGUGAAAUGCGUAGAUAUCGGUAGGAACACCAGUGGCGAAGGCGGUUUCCUGGGGCAUUCUUGACGCUGAUGCGCGAAAGCUGGGGGAGCGAACGGG
rnacentral:rRNA from 1 species